UUACAAACGUAAUUUUUAUUUUAUUUAACUAUUAUCCUUAACAUUAGUAUUUUAAAUGAGUUAUUUCUUUAUUUAAUUUAGAUAUCUUAAGAUAUUCUUUUUGAACAUGGAAAGGAGUAAUGAUAAUGUAUUGCCAUAAGGCACACUAGAUCAUUAUCCGCACAGGAUGAGUAAUUGCUUCCACGUUAAUGGGUUGUAUGGAGCAUUUGCGAAUUCUUGUCCUCAUUCAAUCAUUAUACUCUUUGUCAUGGCGACCCUUUGUGGGAACUAGGACCGCCAAAGCCUAAAUUAUAUGUUCAGAUUCGCACCAUCAUUAGUAUUUAAGAGUUUUUGGUCUUUGCGGAUUAGUACUCCUCCGUCCAAAAAUAAAUAUCAUAGAAGAAAAGUUACUCAUCAAAACAUAAACAAUAAUAAUUUUAUAUUAUCACUAAUUUAUCUAUAAAUUUUGUUAUUCAUUAUUAAUAUUAUAAAAGAUAUAAAAAAAAUAUAAUAUCACAAUAAAAAAUUAAAAUAAUAAUUUUUUUGAGAUAAAUUUUUUUUACACCACAAUUAUAUAGGACCGAUGGAGUAUUAACAUUAAAUUCAAAAAUUAAAAUAACAUUUAUUAGGAAUAUUCCUGAAGAAGGGGAUUUACUGUUACAUUUAAAAGUUAAAUGCUGAUACUUAUUUUACUUUCAUUAUAAUUAUUUUAUAAGAAAACAAAUUAUCCCAAAACAAUAGGGAUGGAUAUAUAGAUCAAUUUGGUCUUUUUAAUUUCAGUUCACGCAACCCAUGUUUUGAACUGAUCAAAUAAGCUCGAUCUGCAAAAUUAAUGAACUUUUUUUUAAGAUAUGUAUCCAGUGCGUAAAAGUUAGCGAAUAAAUACAUUAAUCCGUAGACCAAAAUAUUAAUUUGAAAAAUAUAUAAAAUUUAACUUCAUUUUUUAAGCUAAAAUCUAUCGUAACAAAAUAUACCAACAUUUUUUUAUAAAAAAAAAUAUACCAACAUUUUAAAUAUAACAAAUUAACCAUAACAACCUAAACUAAAAGAUAAAAAUCUUAAACCUAACAAUACUUAUACAUAAGACAUAAGUGGGUUAAAUGGGUAGUUGGCGGGCUCACAGAUCAAGUUUGCAGUUGAAAGUUUGCUCCCAGCCAUCCAAUUUGGGCCAUUAUAAAAUUCCCUGCAUCAUCAUGAAGACAACAACCAUUACCAGAUGCAUGUUGAUCCUCAAAAAUGGCACCAUCAGUAUUGCUUAUAACAUAUCCUGUUGGAGGUUUGGUCGUUAAAAUAACAACGUUAGUUGUUGAGCCAUUAUCUCGAUGAACUCCACGAAAUUCUUAAGCCAAUCUCCAAUCUUACAACACUGAUUGAGCUCUACAGCAGACAAUACUCCCUGAUCCAUCUACUGCAUUACAUGGAUUUCCAUUCCUUCCCUUCCAUUGGCUCCAAAGCAAAAUGGCUAUCUUAGAAGUGGUGUUGGCAUUACUGAUAAGCUUGAAAUUCUAAUCAUAGAUUGAUUCAACUUCAGUCAAGAAAGGUUCGAUCAUGUUUCACAAGCCUUCUUUUUCCCAAACAGAAAUGAUUCCUGGAGGCAGGUAAAGAAACAGUUAAAUGCAAUUUCCAAAUUUUGCUGACAGAAAAGGCAAGAAGCUGGACAUUCAAUACCUUUUGAUUGCAGUCGUAUUUUUG
rnacentral:lncRNA from 1 species